AGAAACUUAGGUUAAUUUAUAGCAAACCAAAGGCCUUCAAAGCCUCAAAUAAGAGCCAAACUCUCUUAGUUUCUG
rnacentral:tRNA from 1 species